UACAGAGGUCCCGAGCGUUGUUCGGAUUCACUGGGCGUAAAGGGUGCGCAGGUGGGUUGGCAAGUUUGAUGUGAAAGCCCCGGGCUUAACCCGGGAAUGGCAUUGAAUACUGCUGAUCUGGAGGAUCGGAGGGGGGACUGGAAUUCUUGGUGUAGCAGUGAAAUGCGUAGAUAUCAAGAGGAACACCAGUGGCGAAGGCGAGUCCCUGGACAUUUCCUGACGCUGAGGCACGAAAGCCAGGGGAGCAAACGGG
rnacentral:rRNA from 1 species